AGAUGUCUCUUUCUGUUUUGUUACCGUCAAACAGGAGAACUGGUGUUUGCACAGGAAUUUUUCGGUGGUUGCCUAUAGCAACGUGACUCUCAAUCACAGUGUACUUGUCCUCCAGUGUUGUCUUCUGUUUCAUCAAUAUGUCAUCCGGCUAACGGGUUAAUUAGCUGAAUGAAGUGCUCCGCGGAGGAAAUGUCAGGCUCACUGGCUGCAGGUUGACUUCCCGAGUGGGAGGUUAAAGGUCGACGGCAGGUUUGCUGAACCUUUUCCCUCUCACCUUUAUCUAAAUGUCAUCCAGGAACCAUUAGCGUGGGCUCCACCGGGGGACACUUCAUGUGGCGGACUGAAGGCAAGAUGUCCUUGCCGCCGCUGAUGGACCCAGCGACCCCUGAGACACUCCUGAACGCUCAACCAGUGUGAAACCUCCAGGGUUCAAUGGGACGCCAAGAGAAGUCCUCACUUCCUGUUUCUGAGGGUGCUCCGAGAUACUGAGGCGUUCAAUACAUCUGGGGGAAAUGGUCAAAGGAGACACUCAUCUGGAAAUCCAGGGGCCGGAUGCAUGAAACUGUGUUUAUUGGUAGACUCACUACUACUGACAGUUUUAUUUAGUCUGAAAUUUAUUUAUUUUUUAGUCUUGUUAUAAAGAUGUUUUGAUUCUGUGAAAGCUUUAUUUUCUUGUCUUUUUUUGCUUUAUUGAGUUUAU